GGACUCUUUCCACUGAAGUGCUAAGCUAGAAGAAUAUAAGUCUGGAGCUACUGGGUGCCAGCCCGUAGAACAACCUACCCAAGAAUAAAGCCAACCUGGAGGAAAGGAAGGCUAAGAGCUGGGGAGACAGGUUCCUGGCAAAUCCUUGAACUUCAUCAUCUACAAACAGACAACUUUUCUUUUGAUUUCUUAAAUUCAGUUGCAAAAUGUAGAAAAUCCCACUGUGCUCACGAGGAGUGAAAGUUGGCAGAUUCAGUGCUUUCAGAGGUUCCAGAUGUGAGAUGGAGAGUGAAAGGAAGGCCUGACCUUUCCCAGAAUUGAGAGCAUGCACUGUUUUGUUCAGCCUCUCGCCUAGCCUUGCGGCCUCCUCAGAAGCCUAGAACAAAGAGAAGGCAUCUCAAUCUUCAGAAGCCCCAGAUAUGACCAGGAUGGACAUUUCCAAAGAGCUGGGCAUCCACCUGAGACUGGUGCUGUUCAUCUUUCAUAUUGGGAAGGACAGCCUGCCCAACAUGCUCCGAGAGCUCCGAGCCGCCUUCAGCAGGGUGAAGACUUACUUUCAAAUGAAGGAUCAGCUGGACAAUAUGUUGUUAAAUGGGUCCCUGCUGGACGACUUCAAGGGUUACCUGGGUUGCGAGGCCUUGUCGGAGAUGAUCCAGUUUUACCUGGAGGAGGUGAUGCCCCAGGCUGAGAACCAUGGCCCAGAAAUCAAGGAGCAUGUGAGUUCCCUGGGAGAAAAGCUGAAGACCCUCCGGCAGAGGCUGCGGCGCUGUGUAAGUAGAAGACCUGUUCUUUCCCUGGCUGCUCUCUCUGAAACACAUCCACAGACCAGCAGGGACCCUAACAUCUCAGAGACACACCACACGAGCCAGAGACGCAAAGACAGACUGGCAGGGGGACAGCGGACUCAGAAGGGCACAAGGAGUCUUGCUCAUUUCUCUCUGAACAGGGGUGGGGGUGGUUGCUAGGCAUUUUACACAAGAACAUUUGCAAACAGCUUUCCUGUUAUUUGUGAGUCAUUUGUGCGUUAUUAACUACUCGCCUCUCUCUCAUGAAAGGGGCCCAGAGCUUCAGUCAGGGCUCCUUUGUCCCUUUGGACCUCAGCUCUGGGCCCGUCAGGAGAGACCAGGAGGUGAGGCUCCUGGGCGGGUGAAAGGCCACUCAGCUCUAAGUGGGGCCCACUGACUGACAGGAUUUUCCCCCAAUACUGUAGAAGGGCCUGGAGGCUAUUCACCCCCAGGCUAGAGUGCCUAUGAAUAAGCCCUCCCACUGGUUUCCUUUGUUCUCUCAUGUAUAUAGAAAAAUCAGUUGGUCUGAAUUUGCAGGACAGGGCUAUGCAAAAGGUUUCCAUGUCUUGGGGAUUUAGAAAUGAUCCUCAGUGGCUGAGGCUGAAGGAGAGGGAGAGGACAGAGAGACAGCGGAAGGACAAACUAAAAAGUGCCUAGCUCAGCACCCUAAUAGACACUGUGGCAUUUGGGGGAGGAAACGCUGAGAGCCUGGGUUUUCAUCCAAGCUCUGCAAACAUCUCAGAGUGUUUCCUGGAGAAUUGCAUGUUCUCCCUCUAGCCUUACUUCUGUGUCCAGUGAGUAAGGAUGAGAUAUGGUUCAGUUCUCCCAGGGAAAUAUGCAGUGGGGCUGGAGGAGGCAUUUGGUUUGAGUCUGGCCCCGUCUUCAUUUUGUCAGCUCCUCCCCCAAGAACUAAGAGCCAGGGUCAUUAACGUUUUCUGUUUUCUUUCACAGCAUCGAUUUCUUCCCUGUGAAAACAAGAGCAGAGCAGUGGCGCAGGUGAAGAACGCCUUUAGUAAGCUCCAAGAGAAAGGCGUCUACAAGGCCAUGAGUGAAUUUGACAUCUUCAUCAACUACAUAGAAUCCUAUAUGACAUUGAAGA